rnacentral:rRNA from 1 species
UACGUAGGGUCCAAGCGUUAUCCGGAAUUACUGGGCGUAAAGCGUGUGUAGGUGGCGCGUUAAGUGCAACGCGAAAUCUUGCGGCUCAACCGUAUAGACUGUGUUGCAUACUGGCGUGCUCGAGGACGUGAGAGGCAAGUGGAAUUUGUAGUGUAGCAGUGAAAUGCGUAGAUAUUACAAGGAACACCAAUGGCGAAGGCAGCUUGCUGGCACGUAUCUGACGCUGAGACACGAAAGCGUGGGGAGCGAACAGG